AACGAACGCUGGCGGCAUGCCUAACACAUGCAAGUCGAACGAGACCUUCGGGUCUAGUGGCGCACGGGUGCGUAACGCGUGGGAACCUGCCCUUAGGUUCGGAAUAACUCCCCGAAAGGGGUGCUAAUACCGGAUAAUGUCUUCGGACCAAAGAUUUAUCGCCUUUGGAUGGGCCCGCGUUGGAUUAGCUAGUUGGUAGGGUAAAAGCCUACCAAGGCGACGAUCCAUAGCUGGUCUGAGAGGAUGAUCAGCCACACUGGGACUGAGACACGGCCCAGACCCCUACGGGAGGGAGCAGGGGGGAAUAUUGGACAAGGGGCGAAAGCCUGACCCAGCAAUGCCGGGUGAGUGAGGAAGGCCUUAGGGUUGAAAAGCUUUUUUCCCCGGGAUGAUAAUGACAGUACCGGGAAAAUAAGCCCCGGCAAACCCCGU
rnacentral:rRNA from 1 species